CGGGGUUGGGGGGCAGCGCGGAGGCUCGGCGCCUCUGGGAAGUCCGACCUCCUUCUCCUCCUCCUUCUUCUCCUCCUAGCUCCCGCGCCGGGGACCGUCGAGCGCGGAGCCCCGCGGGUCCCGGAGCGUCUCGAGGGAGGGACGCGCUGGACUCGAACUCCGCUUUGCUCUCCACUAGGCAGGCGAUGGCGGUCGGGGGCGAGAGAGAGGAGAGCGGGGGUGGAAAUCACCUGAAACGCGGUGUCCCCGAGUGGAGGACCGUGUCUGUGCUGUCUCACUCUUCUUCCUCCAAAGUUCUUCCUCCGGCGUUCCUCCCCGGUGGCCGCCGUCUCCCCGCACACCGAGCGGACGUGGCCAGCCAGAGCCCUUCACCUGCGGCACAGUAAAACUGGAGACGCUGCUUGCACGUGCCUGGCGUUUCCUCUUGAUCGCCUUGCAAACACUUGCGUGUGGCCCGCGCUCCCAAAAGUUCCAGCCGGCAGUCACGCAACCCGGGGUUCCUCCUGCGCUGCGUGGAAAUGAAUGCAGGGGAUAGAAGUGGAGACUGAACCCCCAUGCUGACACCCACAAAGUCACCAAUGAGCUAAACCACCGGCUGUGCUACUAGCUACACCCCAUCUCUUAGAUGUUUCAGUCUAGCCGGGGAUAUCUUCUCCUAGCAAGAUUCUCAGAAUGUCACUGGGGCUGUGUGGAUCCAGUUUUCAUCUCACUCCUGACUUCCAUUUUCUGUUGUGGUCCUUAAAGAAACAGUUCCUUUCCAUAGGCGUGACUUUCUCAGAGUUCAACUGCUGCUCUGCAGAGGUUGAAGUGUUUAUGUGAAAAUAUGUACUCGACUACCUGACGUAUAAAUAUUUCAUGGACCUGCCUUCUCGCUGUUCUGCUUUUUAAUUGCUUUCUCUAGUUAAAUCUUUCAGCAGGUCGUUUGAGGCUGGGACUGACUUUGUACCUGAAAUUUUAUCUUUGUUGGACAUAGACCACCCUUUUCCUAUGUGUUCUCUUCCUGUCCUAAGAGAUGAAGAAUGGUUUUCAAGAGGAAUGUUCACGAUCCCUAAGAGAACUUAAAAUCUGAAUGUUAAAGACUUCUCAGUAAUUAAAAAAAAAAAAAUGAAAACAGGA